rnacentral:lncRNA from 1 species
UGUCUGAAAGCUGAAAUUUCUUUCUUUCUUUUUAUAAUGGCCUUUUGCUCUGCUUUUUAUGCAUUUUUUUUUAAUAUAUCUGCCAUUAAAUGCUAGUGCUUAUAUUUAUUUAUUUAUUGUUUUUAUGCUUUUAGUCUGUUAUAUUUUAUGAUCCCAAGUGAUUUGCUGAUUCCCCCGUUUCAAUGCACAUAGAGGCACUUGCCACAUGAACUUUGACUCUGGAGGCUCACAAAUCAAAUAGAGUUGCUUU